AACGAACGCUGGUGGCAUGCCUAACACAUGCAAGUCGAACGAGAUCUUCGGGUCUAGUGGCGCACGGGUGCGUAACGCGUGGGAAUCUGCCCUUUGGUUCGGAAUAACAGUUGGAAACGACUGCUAAUAUCGGAUGAUGACGAAAGUCCAAAGAUUUAUCGCCAGAGGAUGAGCCCGCGUAGGAUUAGCUAGUUGGUGUGGUAAAGGCGCACCAAGGCGACGAUCCUUAGCUGGUCUGAGAGGAUGAUCAACCACACUGGGACUGAGACACGGCCCAGACUCCUACGGGAGGCAGCAGUGGGGAAUAUUGGACAAUGGGCGAAAGCCUGAUCCAGCAAUGCCGCGUGAGUGAUGAAGGCCUUAGGGUUGUAAAGCUCUUUUACCCGGGAUGAUAAUGACAGUACCGGGAGAAUAAGCUCCGGCUAACUCCGUGCCAGCCGCCGCCGUAA
rnacentral:rRNA from 1 species